AAAGAUUGCUUCACGGAGAAAGGAGAGAGAGAAAAGAGAGACAGAGAAAUAGAGAGGCAGAGAGAGUUCUCCGUUCCCUCGCUAGACUUAGAGCACCGGUGCAAGCAGAAAGAAAAAUCUAUGGGCAUCAACACCGUUAGGCUAUAUAUCUGCCACCAUCAGAUCGUCGGAACCGGCUCCGGGAAACACCAUAGAAGAUCAAAUUCUACCUAGGCUUUGUCUCUCAGUGUUCUGAGGAAUGUAGGUAUUAUUUUAGGGGGAACCAACAUAUUUAUAGAUUUGAUCUUUUAUUUGUGACUUGGGUGCUGAUCUAGGUCUAAGUACUCAGAUUUGAGGUUUUGCAUUCCUUUAACCAAUUAACUGAAAGUUACUGCUUCAAUUUGGUUUAAACAUAUUGUGAUAUGAAUUGUUCAUUGUCUUAGGCAACAUGACUAAUACUUUUGGAAUUCCAGACUACAAUUGGGGGAGGUGGUGGAGAUAUUGGAAAGAAAAUAAAUCAUGGUGGUGGUGAUGUCGAUGGCGAUGAAGAUGAUUACUUUGAUGACUUUGAUGAUGGUGAUGAAGGGGAUGGUGGAGGCCUAUUUAGGACACAGAAAUUUCUUGAGGAGCUUUUUGGUCAUAAAUUCGUAGAUGCAGUGUUAAAUGAAUGGCAGGGGACAAUGAUGGAUUUGCCUGCUGGAUUCCAAAAAGCUUAUGAUAUGUGGAGGUGGUCGAUUGAGAAGCUACAGAGAGAUUUUCUUUGGAGUGGCAUUGAUAAGAUGUACUUUUAUACAUUGCUAAAAGUAUAAUCAAACUUGGCUAAUCAGAGUUGUUAGAUUGCUGAAUAAAUUGUCAAUCUUUGAUGUUUAUCAAUGCCACCUCCAAGAGAGCUGAGACCUUGGGAAUUGUUGAAUUCCCAAUACUAGGCCGCAUUAGUAAACUUGCUAUUUCGUGGGAUUCUUUGAUUCGGUUUUGAUUAUGGGUAUGUUGUUUUGGUUUGCUAUAUGGUUUUUUUUGUUGUAUUUAUUUUGCAUUUGUUUUCCCUUUCUAUAUUUAUUAUAUGGGCAUUGUAAACUUUAUUGCACAUUUUUAUACAAAAUUGUUGCUUUGUAAA